rnacentral:rRNA from 1 species
GGUAUCCUGUCUGAAUAUGGGGGGACCAUCCUCCAAGGCUAAAUACUCCUGACUGACCGAUAGUGAACCAGUACCGUGAGGGAAAGGCGAAAAGAACCCCGGCGAGGGGAGUGAAACAGAACCUGAAACCGUGUACGUACAAGCAGUGGGAGCCCCACCACUAAGCCAGUGGUGAACUCCACAUACGCAUCCUUUGCUGAGGAUACGGUUAACGGAGCGAAAGCGACGUUCAACCGCAAAAGAAGCAGAGGGGGCUUAGUGGUGGGGUGACUGCGUACCUUUUGUAUAAUGGGUCAGCGACUUAUAUUCUGUAGCAAGGUUAACCGCAUAGGGGAGCCGGAGGGAAACCGAGUCUUAAUUGGGCGUUAAGUUGCAGGGUAUAGACCCGAAACCCGGUGAUCUAGCCAUGGGCAGGUUGAAGGUUGGGUAACACUAACUGGAGGACCGAACCGACUAAUGUUGAAAAAUUAGCGGAUGACCUGUGGCUGGGGGUGAAAGGCCAAUCAAACCGGGAGAUAGCUGGUUCUCCCCGAAAGCUAUUUAGGUAGCGCCUCGUGAAUUCAUCUCCGGGGGUAGAGCACUGUUUCGGCCAGGGGGCCAUCCCGGCUUACCAAUCCGAUGCAAACUGCGAAUACCGGAGAAUGUUAUCACGGGAGACACACGGCGGGUGCUAACGUCCGUCGUGAAGAGGGAAACAACCCAGACCGCCAGCUAAGGUCCCAAAGUCAUGGUUAAGUGGGAAACGAUGUGGGAAGGCCCAGACAGCCAGGAUGUUGGCUUAGAAGCAGCCAUCAUUUAAAGAAAGCGUAAUAGCUCACUGGUCGAGUCGGCCUGCGCGGAAGAUGUAACGGGGCUAAACCAU